rnacentral:rRNA from 1 species
UACAGAGGUCUCAAGCGUUGUUCGGAUUCAUUGGGCGUAAAGGGCGUGUAGGCGGCGCGCUAAGUCGGGUGUGAAAUUUCGGAGCUUAACUCCGAAACUGCAUUCGAUACUGGCGUGCUUGAGGACUGGAGAGGAAACUGGAAUUUACGGUGUAGCAGUGAAAUGCGUAGAGAUCGUAAGGAAGACCAGUGGCGAAGGCGAGUUUCUGGACGGUAACUGACGCUGAGGCACGAAGGCCAGGGGAGCAAACGGG